UACGUAGGGUGCAAGCGUUAAUCGGAAUUACUGGGCGUAAAGCGUGCGCAGGCGGUUUUGUAAGUCUGACGUGAAAGCCCCGGGCUCAACCUGGGAAUUGCGAUGGAGACUGCAAGGCUUGAAUCUGGCAGAGGGGGGUAGAAUUCCACGUGUAGCAGUGAAAUGCGUAGAGAUGUGGAGGAACACCGAUGGCGAAGGCAGCCCCCUGGGUCAAAACUGACGCUCAUGCACGAAAGCGUGGGGAGCAAACAGG
rnacentral:rRNA from 1 species